AACAGAAGAUUUAUAGGAAACCGUUAGUUAUAGAAGAUAUAUACUCUUCCAGAUAUGGUAUGUCAUUAAUAAGAGAAAUACUUAGCGUGUUAAACUGCCACCCAUAUUUACGCUGUUUUCCAAAUAUAGAUACUAAAUUUGGGAUGUGGUGCAAAGAAUUAAAACAUUCACUUAUAUGUUCCUAUUUAAGUUUUAUGUUUGUCCAUUUUUGUAGCGAUAUGUAUGUAUAUAUAAGGAUGGUGCUAGGACACACCAAACAUCUUCCAUUGUUGCUUGUAAGAAGAAAACAUACUCUAACUACCGUGAGGAACACUACUAAAGCACCUACCAUUGCACUGCGCUAAUUAGAUGGAAAAGUACAUGAACUCCUUCUCUGCAUUUACCAUAAUCUGUGGAUUUCUCAUGUACUCUGUGAUCCAUACACAGUGCCAAAUCAUGGAAGGUCAAGAAAAUGAAAAGAUCAAUUUACCUUCUGGAUUAUGCGUCUAUGAAAAAGGAGAUCCGUUGUGCAAAAAGAAGUCAUAUUGUUUCUGUUGUUUAGUGACCAACAAGUGGUAUGUUAGAAUGGAAGUUUGCGAGAGUGAAUGUGUAAAGCAUACUUCAUCUGGCAUAGACGCUUCGCAGAAACAUGCUCUAUCGCCCUCCCAUUUAGUAGACUAAGUAGCACAAUGUAGUUCUCUAUGGCGGGAAUCCCUGGUGUUCCUCACUACAUGGUGUCUUCCCUUCUCGCCACCGUCAUGAAUAAAAUAUGAUUUUCAUCCA